AAAAAUAAAACAAACAAAAAGUGUCAGUUUUUGAAUUCACAUAUUUUCCAAAAAAAUCUAUAACCCAUAAAUAAAAUGGAGCACACGGAGUUCCGCGUCAAAGCUAAAGAGAUGGUAGACUACAUAGCUGAUUACCUGGAGAACAUUCGAGACCGUCGCGUGUACCCCAGCGUGCAGCCAGGCUACCUCCACAAGCUGCUGCCGAAGGAAGCCCCCCAGACUCCUGAGCGAUGGGACGAUAUCUUCAAGGAUGUUGAUGAGCAUAUUAUGCCGGGGUUGGUGCACUGGCAGAGCCCCCACAUGCACGCGUACUUCCCCGCGCUCACCUCAUACCCCUCCAUCAUGGGGGAAAUGCUGUCCAGCGCCCUCAACGUGCUGUGCUUUACUUGGGCCUCAUCUCCCGCGGGUACUGAGUUGGAGACUAUAGCUAUGAACUGGCUCGGCAAGCUGCUGGGGCUACCGGACUGCUUCCUCAACGAAAAGAAUGACAGCCCAGGCGGUGGAGUGAUACAGACAACAGCGAGUGAAGCGACCCUAGUAAGUCUACUAGCAGCGCGCACUAGGGCACUGAUGGAACUCUCCAAGCUGAACCCUGAGGUGCAGUCAGCUGAAUUGCUGGGACAUCUGAUAUGUUACUGUUCAGACCAGGCUCAUUCUUCGGUGGAGAAGGCUGGACUUAUUGGUUUGGUCCGUAUGCGCUACAUCGAGUCGGAUGAGAACCAGAGCAUGCGAGGAGACCAGCUAGACAAAGCCAUCGCCAGCGACAAGGAAAAGGGACUCGUACCAUUCUGGGUAUGCGCGACACUCGGCACAACAGGCUCGGUAGCCUUCGACAAUCUUCGUGAGAUCGGCCAGGUGUGUGAGAAGCACGGAGCCUGGUUGCAUGUCGAUGCUGCGUAUGCUGGCAGUGCAUUCACUUGUCCUGAGUACAGGCACUGGCUCGAUGGCAUUGAGAUGGCUGAUUCCUUCGCCUUCAAUCCUUCUAAAUGGCUGAUGGUCAACUUCGAUUGUACUGCUAUGUGGGUAAAAGACAGCACAGCUCUUCACAGGACUUUCAACGUGAACCCAAUUUAUUUGAGGCACGAGAAUUCAGGAAAAGCAAUUGACUACAUGGUCGGUGACAGAAAGUCAUACUACAAGAAAAACCCACUGAGGAAGAUAAACAAUAUCCUAAAAGGUACAGCCAACCCAACAAUCACCGUAAACGGUGAUGAAGCAACAAACGGUGAUGAAAUAAUCACCAAAUCCGACAAACCAAAGAUUGAAAAAGAUAUCAAUGGGAAUAUAGAAAACGGUGAUGUCGGAAAAGAUGAUGAUUUGUACGAAGAUGAUGAUGAUGUAAACCUACAUGGUUACAACAAUAUGUCAUCUGGUUGUGGUGAACAGAUACAACUUGAAGAUCCGCAUAAGAAAGAACUUCUACACUGGCAAAUACCGCUGAGUCGUCGCUUCAGAGCAUUGAAGUUAUGGUUCGUGCUUCGUAACUACGGCGUAUCAGGGAUUCAAAAGCAUAUUCGUGAGGGCGUUCGUUUGGCUCAGAAGUUUGAAGCUCUUGUUUUGGCUGAUCAGCGAUUUGAGAUUCCUCAACCGAGGAAUUUGGGCAUGGUAGCGUUCCGUAUGAAGGGAGACAACGCUUUGACCGAACGGCUGCUGAAGCGCUUAAACGCCCGCGGCUUCAUCCACGCCGUGCCAGCCUGCUUUAAAGGAACAUAUGUCAUUAGAUUCACUGUCACCUCUUCUAGGACUACCAACCAGGAUAUCUUGGAUGAUUGGAAUGAAAUAAAGACUGUUGCAAAAGAAAUACUGACAGAUGUCUUUGGAUCAGAGGAUGGUAAUAUUGUCGUGCCGAAGAAACCUAGGAUCUCUCUGAAAGGGGACAAUGACUCCAACUUCGAGGGAAUUCGGUGCGGAGAUAGAGCGGAAGCCUGGGAAGGUUACGGAGUAGUUCUAUCCGGAUAUAUCUAGUGAUCUAUUUAAUGAAGAAAUAAGGAUUGAACAACGACAUGCCAUUUUUCUAUAAACUUGAGGAUCCAGCCCGGGAGACAGGUCCUCAUUAACAUCAUCACCAGUGACAUCUACCGGGACUAACAAGCAAGAAACAAAUUCAGACA
rnacentral:misc_RNA from 1 species